CCCAUCGGCCCAUCGCUCGGUGUGAAGGCGACACCAACUCGCCCCUUCCCCCUCGUCCGUCUCCGGGGGGGCUCCAGCACCCGCUCAGGCAGACAUCGGUUCCCUGGAGCCGUUCGGCCGGUUUCCCCUCGGCCUGAGUUAACAAAAGCUGGACAGAGAAGAACGGCAAGUCUGGGGAGGUGCUUAAAAACACCUAAGUUUUCUGCCGGCGUUUGAGUGGUGUUUGUUUCUGACUGGAAAGUUAUUUCAAACAGAAAAGCUUAGAACUGUUUUUUGAAAGUGCUGAAAUGUAGGUGCGUUUCCGAACUGCCUCAAAAAUGUCUUAAGCGUAGGCAAAUAUGUGGUUGGAAUUUCCCCUUCCUUGGGAUCCUUUUCAAUGUGGUGUGAGAUUUGCAGUCAGGAGUCCCCGGCCGUUCCUGUCAGAACGGCAGAUUCCCCGGCAGAGGCCGGCGGGUGAGCCCAGCACAGCGGGCACGGCGGGAGCAGCCCCGUCCCAGGUACUCCCUGUGUCACACCGUGUUCCACCAGGGACAGACACAUCCCAGAUGUCCAGCAAACAUUAACAGCUAGAAGAAAAAACGUUGGCGCCUUUGACUUCCCAGGUGACUCUGAAAUGAGUGAACGACAGUGACAACUGGCCAGAAGAUCCAACCAAAAGAUCACCUGCUGAAGAAUUUUUCACGAGCGACAGCACUCAACAUUUGGAGCAUCGGUGGUCUGGCUGCUCCCUGGGAGCCAGGAGCCCACAGGGAUAACGCAACCCCGCAGUAUCCAGGUAGGACAGACCCAGGGAUAAGGACAGCCCCUCAACCAACAGACUAGGUAAUCAGAUACAUCCGUAAAACUGCAUGACAGACGAUUCAUUACAGAUCACACCAGACCAAAGGCUACAGAAUGAAGGUGAAGACAAAGUGAAUUUUCAUGCUGAUUUAGAGUAACAUCCCCUUUCCACCGAAGAAACUCAGCACAGUGCUCUGGACAACUGUCAUCAGGAAAACUGUCCAGAAGACAAAUGUGUUUGCUACCCAGCUCCUGGAAGAAAAUCCUGGCAGCACAAACACUUGUUAGCAAAAGCAUGGAGAGAAGGCGGCUGACCUGAGUGAAUGGCUGCUACAAACCUUCUGGAGGGAUUUGGCUGAUGUUACAGACAUUUUAAGCUACAAAUUGAAAAGGAACAGAGCACCUUAAAGCUAUAGAAUUAGUUAGUUUACACACACACACACAAAAAAAGAAAUUCAGAAGAAAAUAGAGAAAAUUCAGAUGCCCUUUUCUACCAGUGACUGAUCCCAGGCUGCCACUGGCACAGAUGGAAGUGUGUAACCUGGUGUUCAGUCUUUUUCUGCCACGGGAAGGAGAACUGAGAGGGAGAUCUCGACCCACUGAUUGUGAAACCAAUGACUUUUAAGAACACAAAUGCCCAAGAACCAUUGGAAGAAGAGCAUUAAGUUUACCUAAUUUUCCAUCAGUUUUCAUAAGCAACCUUGGCUGGAAGGCAUCAGAGCCUGACUAAAGCCCAAACUGAUUCUGAAUGAAAGGGAAGCUUCAAAUUUUUAUGAAAACUUCACCUUCUUCCAAAUGAAUGUCUUGCCAAUCACCUGAAUAAUUCAAGACAUGCAUUCCUUAUCCUCUCUUUGCCUGACAGGCAGGAUACUGCUGAAAGUUCAUUCUGUCUUCCUUAAGGAGCUUCUCUGUUUAGAGAGAAUAGCCCACAGAGCCUUUUGCAACCCUCCAGUUAAUUCAUUGCCUUUGUGGAUCCCCUCAAGACCAAUUCCCAUUCAUUUUUUCCUCUUAGACUAGAAGCUUGAUAAAGGGCACAUCUUCAUUGCUUAAAAGUUUCACCCAUUUGCUGACAGUGACACUCAUUUCUCUUCUGUACCACAGUGGCAACAUGGCAGCUGAGCCCUGAUGUGGACAUGGAACUCAUCCCUGAAACUGUCCUGCUGAGGUGCCGCCUCCAGCCCCAAGGAGCAUCGCCCUGGUGGGACCUGGAGCUGUUCUGCAAACACAGAGCACGGGAACCAGGAACAACAACAUUUUCCUCUUCUGUCUACCAAGGUUGUCCAAAGUUAAUCCAUCCCCUAAGAAGUCUGAAUGGAUUAGGAAUUCAAAGCUUGCUAAAAGUUAGAGGAAACAUCAGUACACCUUUCUUUCAUUUAUACGGGGAAGACAAUUGUCUGCUGAUGGUACUGCCAUUCCUUUCAUCUUUUCAAAGAGUCACUUUGGAGAUAAACUGUUGUAAAUCCAGGGAGGAUCUGUAUUAAUGUAUUACAAUGAAAGAUAAGUAAUGACAACAAGAAAUCAUUUCCUAUUCAAAGAUGUGAAGUGACUUGUUUGCAAUUCAUUUAUAAAGUUAAUGAAUUAGAUGAGGUUGCUAAUAAGAAAAAAAACAUGUGUAGUUUAGAUUUUUCCAUUUCUCACUAAAAUACCUCAAUGUCAUUAUUUUCCACUGCAACUUUCCCUUAGAAAAAGAUUUUAGUAGAACAGACUGCAAAAAGAGUGGAUGUAGGUGCUACAAUCGGACAAGGCACUGCAGGUAUUGCAUGAGGCAAACCCAUAGUUUGAUUUUAAUUUUUUUAAGUACUAGUUAGAAUACAAAUUUAAUUCUGCUUUUCCACUGCAUUGCUGCUUUGUAUGUCCUGCUCUGUUAACAGCCCUGUUAAACUCAGCUGCUUCCUGCAGUUAACUUUUGUCCUACUCCUUUCCUCAUGUUUCUUAAAAUUGAUACUUCAGGACACAAUAAAAUCUGUCCUGUUCAGGAAUUCCAUGAAAAUGUUUUGUUAGAGGAAUUGUGAAGCGUGGAUUCAGUAAAAAGUAUCCUGUUGCAUCAUGUUGCUCAAGAGCUUUAAGAGAGCCGCUGCUGUUUUUCCAAGCUAUGCUGCUAGGGUCAGAGGAGAAGCAGGAAAAUUGCGUAAGCUCUCUAAUCACACAUCAAAACUCCUGCUUUUUGUAAUGAGUUACAAAACCAUAGUAAAAAAGAUUAUUGCAGUCCUUGAGGCAGUGACAGAAUAGCUGCUCAAUAGGAUGCAACAAGAAAGGAAUAAAAAUCAAAUUAAAUUAGAGAGAAAAGGAAUAGCGCCUUUGUUAAAGCAUCGCUUUUGUUAAUUAGGGCAAACUUUCAUUACCCACUGUUCUGCAGGGCAUUCGUUACCCUCUGUUGGGGCACCUUCAUCAUUAUUCUGAAAACAAUGUCAAUCAGCACUGAAGAUUGUAGGAGACUUACACUACUUUAUGCAGCAAAACAUCUGGCAUUUUGGCUGUCACAGCCAAGCAAAGAGCAACUUGUGUUGCUGUUGACUCCCUUGGCACGUUCAGAUGGCCAAGAACCCUCCACUGCCCCGUGCAGCUCUGCAGACGUUCAGCCUGGGGAUACAUUCGUGUCUCUGUGGUUUCCCUCUCUGUCUGGAGCUCCUACUGUUGGUGUUUCUCUGACAGAAGAGCAGAUUGUUGCUAGAACAUUGAAGUAAGGCAGUUUUCUAAAACUGUCUCCUGAACUCUCCCAGCAAAAGUGUAGUAUAGAAUUUAAGUACUUGCACUGUGGGGGUGGUGUGUUUGCAGCUCUUUUGCUUUUGGACUGUAUUAUUUCUUUUAUAGAAAAAUGAAUUCUUAAUGCUCUGUAUGGAGAUCAUAAUGGAGUCAAUACAACCACAUUGUCAUUUACUGUUUUGUAUUAAAGGUUGUUAAAUAGUAGGAAAACUAAUUUAAUAACUACCGAUGCCAGAAGACAAAAGUAGUGCUCAUAUUCCCACCCUUGCCAGUAAAAUAGAAUGAGGAUUUUGUGUGAGUCAUCUGUUUGACAUUGAUUUGGGAAAGAUCAGAAUCUACUGAAAUCAUCAGCAAUUUCCUUACUGAUUUCUGUGAAGAUAAGCAAUGAAAUGCUCUUCACUUCUGCUGGGCUCAUGCUAGGAGCCAGGAAACUGUGGGGAAAAGUGACACUAAAAACACAGACCAAACUCAGAUGCGUUUUCAUAAUUUUUUGGUAGGAUUUUUUUUUUUUUAAUUAGAUAUAUAUUCUACAAUCAAAUACUGCAUACACGUGAUUAUACAUGUAUGAAAUUCUGCAUAUAAUAGAUGCAAUUGUGUGUACUGUGUGUAUGGCUGUGCACGGGUCAGAUACAAUCAAAAGGGAUGAAAACAGCACAUAGGGUUCCUCUGAAACAAUUACAGAAAACAUUACAGAUCUCUGUUCUACAAAAACAUGUACAUGUGCUUAUGAUUACUCAUGCAAGUAGCUAAAGGAAAAGGGAAGCACUGUCUGAGUGAAGCUGAGUGUGUGUAAUGUAAAAAUAAAGUGUGGAAGAUA